rnacentral:rRNA from 1 species
AACGAACGCUGGCGGCAGGCUUAACACAUGCAAGUCGAGCGCCCCGCAAGGGGAGCGGCAGACGGGUGAGUAACGCGUGGGAAUCUACCCAUCUCUACGGAACAACUCCGGGAAACUGGAGCUAAUACCGUAUACGUCCUUCGGGAGAAAGAUUUAUCGGAGAUGGAUGAGCCCGCGUUGGAUUAGCUAGUUGGUGGGGUAAUGGCCUACCAAGGCGACGAUCCAUAGCUGGUCUGAGAGGAUGAUCAGCCACACUGGGACUGAGACACGGCCCAGACUCCUACGGGCGGCAGCAGUGGGGAAUAUUGGACAAUGGGCGCAAGCCUGGUCCAGCCAUGCCGCGUGAGUGAUGAAGGCCCUAGGGUUGUAAAGCUCUUUCAACGGUAAAGAUAAUGACGGUAACCGUAGAAGAAGCCCCGGCUAACUUCGUGCCAGCAGCCGCAGUAAGAC